CAGGCGUACCCCAGUCACCCCACAUCGUCUCUCGGGGACUCGGCAUCGGACCAGCGGCUAGUUUUCUCCUAAACUACACUCUGGCUCCUGGGGCAGGGAGGCGAGAAAACUACUUCCAGCUGUUCCACAAGGGCAGCUGGAAAAUGCGCAGUCCAAGGUGUUGAGAGUCUUUUAAUAUUUUACUUGGCAGGUAAAACCAAGGGUCAGACUGAAUUGUUCAGUUGGCUGUUCAUAAGGAAUAUUGAUGGCAUCAAAAAAUACACAGCCCACCUCCAGUCCGUAGGCAAGACCAUCACAUACAUGAGUUCCUCGAAUACUUUGGGGAAACCCUACCUGCCCAGUCUCUGAAUGCGAUGGAUGUGGCGAGAGUGCUGCACAGGGGAUUUUGUGAUCUCUGGAAUAUAAGACUCUUGGACACUGAUGAGUUUCGCUGGCUGGAGAGGUGUCUGGAGCUGCAGGCAGCCAGCAAGUUCCUUUUUUACUUAAAAUGACACAACUAUAAUACUGAGCACACUUAGCCUAAACAUGAAGCUAUGAACACCAAAUUGGUCAGGUAUUCUUAACACAGGCUCACCUUUGAGUUUGAAAAGGUUCAAAGUAUCUCGCUUUAUUAAAUUACAUAGAUAUCCAGUGCAAUAUUUAACAACUGUCAUAGAGUGAAUGGAAACUUCCCCAGUUUCCUCACUGUCAUUUCUUUUAGGGACAGACUACUGCUAUCUAAUAUCUGGAACCAGCUUGGUUUAGUAGAGCACUCUCCACUGUACAACACAUCCAAAUUUUAUAGUCAUAACUCAUUUCAAAGUGUUUUUAUUGUGACCAGAAAUCCUCCUUACACGUCAAUAACCUAAUUUUAAAAAAAUGACAUUUGUCACACUCAUGACAGGGAACUCAGGGUAGGGCUGCCCAAUUAAUCAAAUUUUAAUCACAAUCACGAUUUUGGCUUCACGCGAUCAAAUUUGCG